UGCCAUCCUCUCUUAUUGUUGCUGUUAGUUGGUUUACUUUCUGGCUCCGCAUCCAUGCCGCAUCAGAACGAGUCACACUCAGUAUCACCUGCUUGUUGACACUCUGCUAUCAGGUUCAGCAGUACAAGUCUCAGCUCCCCCCUGUGAACUAUAUCACGGCUAUGGAUAUCUGGCUGUUUACUUGUAUUUUCAUGGUUUUCUCAACACUGGUUGAAUUUGCAGUGAGCUACAACGUGUUUCACUCUAUGACAAAGGAGCUACCAUACACAGUUCAUGAGGAGAAGGAAGGUGUUUCAUUGAAAUCAACAACCGAAACCAAACUGGAGAUCGAUGGAAAUCGGGGUAAGAUAAUUUUUUCAGAACUUCCACCUGUUUCAAAAAUUUGCCUUGGGACAAAAUUACUAUCGAAAUGGAGCAAGAAAAGCAACAGAAUGGAUGUUCUUUGCAGAUUCCUGUUUCCAGCAUCAUUUAUGAUAUUCAUAAUAGCAUAUUUAAGUCACUUUUUAGACGUCAAA